UACAGGGAAAACCUAAUGUAGACAGAGAUGU
rnacentral:piRNA from 1 species